rnacentral:rRNA from 1 species
ACACAUGCAAGUCGAGCGGAAACGACACUAACAAUCCUUCGGUGCGUUAAUGGGCGUCGACGGCGGACGGGUGAGUAAUGCCUAGGAAAUUGCCCUGAUGUGGGGGAUAACCAUUGGAAACGAUGGCUAAUACCGCAUGAUGCCUACGGGCCAAAGAGGGGGACCUUCGGGCCUCUCGCGUCAGGAUAUGCCUAGGUGGGAUUAGCUAGUUGGUGAGGUAAGGGCUCACCAAGGCGACGAUCCCUAGCUGGUCUGAGAGGAUGAUCAGCCACACUGGAACUGAGACACGGUCCAGACUCCUACGGGAGGCAGCAGUGGGGAAUAUUGCACAAUGGGCGCAACUGAUUGCAGCCAUGCCGCGUGUGUGAAGAAGGCCUUCGGGUUGUAAAGCACUUUCAGUCGUGAGGAAGGUGGUAGUGUUAAUAGCACUAUCAUUUGACGUUAGCGACAGAAGAAGCACCGGCUAACUCCGUGCCAGCAGCCGCGGUAAUACGGAGGGUGCGAGCGUUAAUCGGAAUUACUGGGCGUAAAGCGCAUGCAGGUGGUUUGUUAAGUCAGAUGUGAAAGCCCGGGGCUCAACCUCGGAAUUGCAUUUGAAACUGGCAGACUAGAGUACUGUAGAGGGGGGUAGAAUUUCAGGUGUAGCGGUGAAAUGCGUAGAGAUCUGAAGGAAUACCGGUGGCGAAGCGGGCCCCCUGGACAGAUACUGACACUCAGAUGCGAAAGCGUGGGGAGCAAACAGGAUUAGAUACCCUGGUAGUCCACGCCGUAAACGAUGUCUACUUGGAGGUUGUGGCCUUGAGCCGUGGCUUUCGGGACUAACGCGUUAAGUAGACCGCCUGGGGAGUACGGUCGCAAGAUUAAAACUCAAAUGAAUUGACGGGGGCCCGCACAAGCGGUGGAGCAUGUGGUUUAAUUCGAUGCAACGCGAAGAACCUUACCUACUCUUGACAUCCAGAGAACUUUCCAGAGAUGGAUUGGUGCCUUCGGGAACUCUGAGACAGGUGCUGCAUGGCUGUCGUCAGCUCGUGUU